rnacentral:rRNA from 1 species
UACGGAGGGGGCAAGCGUUAUCCGGAAUUAUUGGGCGUAAAGCGUCCGCAGGUGGCACUUCAAGUCUGUCGUCAAAGACUGGGGCUUAACCCUGGAAAGGCGGUAGAAACUGAAGCGCUAGAGUGCGGUAGGGGUAGAGGGAAUUCCCGGUGUAGCGGUGAAAUGCGUAGAGAUCGGGAAGAACAUCGGUGGCGAAAGCGCUCUACUGGACCGCAACUGACACUCAGGGACGAAAGCUAGGGGAGCGAAUGGG